AUAUGUGAUUAGAUUAGAUGAUCCGAUUGUAGGGUUUAAUGGUGGACAUGCACAGUGGAAGCAAAAUAAAUUUUAAAAAUUUAAAUUAAGAAAUCUUAAAUAUUAAACCCUUAAACCAGUAUCUCCUGGAUAAUUAACAAUCAUAUAUAACAUAAAUUCAAAAUUAAAUUUAAGCUAUAGAAGAAUACCUGCAGUGCUUAAUCCAAAUUCCGACAGAACCUCCAUCAGACGCCCA
rnacentral:lncRNA from 1 species